UUCUUCCUUUUCUCAUAUUGCAGAUAUGGAAACUGAGGCCUUGAAAGGACAAACAAUUUUUUGAAAGUCACACAGCUAGUAAGAGAUGGAAAUAGGAGUUGAACACAAGUUUGCUGAGUCUGUUCACUUCAGGCACUGUUUAGGCACUGGAGAUACACAGGUGAACAUUCUGCCCAGCUCAAGUUCUCUCUUUGCAACUCACCAGUGAAACUCUUCUUUCCUUAGGUUUGCCCCCUGCCCUACUAGCAGGAUUUCUGAGUACUGAGAUAUUCUGUUUAUUAACCCACUCACUUGUUCCUGCCAAAAAUUUUUCCUUUUGAUAAUCUGGCCCCAAACUAACGUUGAUGGUAUUGGGUAAACUUUUGCAUCUAAAUUCAAGCUCCUCUGAUUUUAAUGGGAUUUCUUCUGCUGGUGAGGUCAUCCAUUAUUUUAAGAGCUAAUGUUGAAGCCUCUAAUAGAAGAAGCUAUUGAGACAAAGGCCUCUGCCAAAAUUGAAAUUGUCCAAUUAGAGGCCAUUGGUGUGCUGGAAUGGGUGUGCCUUUUUUGCUUUCUGGGUGGCCCACACACCCUCCCUGACACUUCCUAGGCCUGGCUUGUCCCGUUCCUUUCCCUGCUGCUACCUCCAUCUCCAGUUACUGCCUGCCAGGGAAAAGUCUGAAGCCAUUUGCUGCCACUCCUCGACUACUAUCCCACCCUGAAACUUCAGGAACUUCAUCCAGCAACCCAUGUGGCUGGUCACUUGGGUUGAAUGCUCCUGGAAGAAGCCAGAAGUAAGAUGAUCUGUUCCUCUUACCUCAACAUAGAAGCGUAAAACAAGAAAGAGCUCAGUUCUGUAUGCUGCAUACAGGAGCUUGGUUAUUCUUUCCCCGGACACACUAUGAACAAGGUGGGACUUAAGCGAGAAGGGUCUAUGGAGACCAAGAUGAGUUCUGGGUAGUAUCUAGACAUCCCUUUUAGCUGUUGUGUGGGAUCUGGUUUAAGAGGAUUGAUGCAGGAAAUUCCUUGUUUCAUGCUUGUCUUAUGAGCUGUCCUAGUCAGCUGCAUAACCACUCCAGGAUGAAGAUUCCUAACAUUGAAGGCUAAUCAUGCCUUCAUCAGAAUUCAUAUGAUUUGCUAGUUCUGCAAAAUCCUCUUCUAACUGACCACACAUUCACAAUGUGUUGUUCCUGGACACUGUCUGCAUGCCCUGAGCUGUGUCAAGCAUUAUUAAUAUCUAUAAGCUAUUGCUAUUAUCCUUACUUGUCUAUUAAAAUAGAAAGCGAGAUCCUUGUGGGCAAGGGCUGGAUAUUAAACAUCUCUGUAUCUUCAGUGCCUAGCACACUGUCAGGCACAUAAUACAUGCCCAAUAAAAUGUUUGUUGAAUCAAUAAAUAAAUGAGAUGGGCCUGUGAAUUCUCUUUGGGAAACGCUAGUUCAG
rnacentral:lncRNA from 10 species